AUGAACGCUGGCGGCGUGCCUAAUACAUGCAAGUCGAGCGAACAGACGAGGAGCUUGCUCCUUUGACGUUAGCGGCGGACGGGUGAGUAACACGUGGAUAACCUACCUAUAAGACUGGGAUAACUUCGGGAAACCGGAGCUAAUACCGGAUAACAUGUUGAACCGCAUGGUUCAACAGUGAAAGACGGUCUUGCUGUCACUUAUAGAUGGAUCCGCGCCGCAUUAGCUAGUUGGUAAGGUAACGGCUUACCAAGGCAACGAUGCGUAGCCGACCUGAGAGGGUGAUCGGCCACACUGGAACUGAGACACAGUCCAGACUCCUACGGGAGGCAGCAGUAGGGAAUCUUCCGCAAUGGGCGAAAGCCUGACGGAGCAACGCCGCGUGAGUGAAGAAGGUCUUCGGAUCGUAAAACUCUGUUAUUAGGGAAGAACAAAUGUGUAAGUAACUAUGCACGUCUUGACGGUACCUAAUCAGAAAGCCACGGCUAACUACGUG
rnacentral:rRNA from 1 species